rnacentral:lncRNA from 1 species
GCCCUAAAGAAACAGCAGAAAACAGAUUUCUGUUCCAGAGAUAUCAAAUCAUUCAACAUCCUUCCUUCUGUGCACUUUGUUCCAGCUUCAAGUGAGAAAUGUCACAUCCUUAUAGCCCAUGGCUGAAGCUGUCCAUGGUGAAGGAGAUUUGACUGUCAGACAACUCAGCAACUGUGAGAAGGAAGAAUAUCUAGGUUGGAAGUGACCUGAGGAGACUGGGGGCAGCCUUGAACCCAAAGGGACCAUGGUGUUUGGCAUUACAACUGGGCAGCUUCUAACCUUCCAAAUUCUCUAGGUCUGAAGACCUCGAAGCCGUCUGGAUUGGUGAUAGCUUCAAAAGCAUUUCAAGACAGAUGACUAUCUGAACAUCCAGUCUGACAUUCACAUUUAAUGAGGAGAGAUUAAAUACUAAUAUCAAAACUAAUGAUUUUCUGGUACUCUGCAAUCUAGUGACAAUGGUCUUGCUGUUCCUUGAACGUGAUAUUCCAUCUUCCAACUCUGCCUUUAUAUUGAUUGUCACUAAUGCCUGGAAUCAUCUCUUUUCUUAUCACCAUGGACUUCCUGACUUCCAUCAAGAAUCAGCUCAAAUCCUACCUUCUACAAGAGACUUUUUCAAGACUGGAGAGUACCUGCAGGUGGCACUGUGAACCCAAGCAUAGCUGAGCCGUGGCCAACCGAGGGGGAGGAGGUGAGGAGUGAGCCUGAGAACUGGAGUACAUGCUAAAUUGGGUAAGAAACCUGCUUGCUAAAAGGAAUCACAUCAGGCAAUAAUUGGAAGAAAAAGAAAGU